CACGCACGCAUGUGCCCACACACACAUAUAAAGAGAGGGAGAGAGGAUAAAAACACUUGAGCAUGGAUCUAUUGUAACGCACAUGCGUCACUGUAAGAUAUGAUACAUCUGCGAAUGGUUGUCCAUCUUGCCACCAUCAUAGGAUGAAUGGCCAUCAAACAAUACAUGAUGUGUGCAUCGCACGGCUUGCGCUUGUGUGUUGCCAUCCAUCUUGUAUACAGCCAUCCAUCUUAUGAUGGCAGCCGUAC
rnacentral:lncRNA from 1 species